rnacentral:rRNA from 1 species
GAACACGGGAUUCCUCAGUAACGGCGAGUGAAGCGGUAACAGCUCAAAUUUGAAAUCUGGCCUCACGGUCCGAGUUGUAAUUUGUAGAGGAUGCUUCGAGCAUGGUCUGGCCUAAGCUCCUUGGAACAGGACGUCAUAGAGGGUGAGAAUCCCGUAUGCGGCCAGGUGCCUACGCUCAUGUGAAGCUCCUUCGACGAGUCGAGUUGUUUGGGAAUGCAGCUCAAAAUGGGUGGUAAAUUUCAUCUAAAGCUAAAUAUUGGCCAGAGACCGAUAGCGCACAAGUAGAGUGAUCGAAAGAUGAAAAGCACUUUGGAAAGAGAGUUAAACAGUACGUGAAAUUGUUGAAAGGGAAGCGCUUGCAACCAGACUUGCGCGCGGCCGAUCAUCCGGUGUUCUCACCGGUGCACUCGGCCGUGCUCAGGCCAGCAUCGGUUUUGGCGGCUGGAUAAAGGCCCUAGGAAUGUAGCUCCUCUCGGGGAGUGUUAUAGCCUAGGGUGCAAUGCAGCCUGCUGGGACCGAGGACCGCGCUUCGGCUAGGAUGCUGGCGUAAUGGUUGUAAGCGGCCCGUCUUGAAACACGGACCAAGGAGUCUAACAUCUAUGCGAGUGUUUGGGUGUCAAACCCAUACGCGUAAUGAAAGUGUACGGAGGUGAGAACCCUUAA